CGCAGCCGCGGUAAUACAGAGGGUGCGAGCGUUAAUCGGAUUUACUGGGCGUAAAGCGUGCGUAGGCGGCUAAUUGAGUCGGAUGUGAAAUCCCCGAGCUUAACUUGGGAAUUGCAUUCGAUACUGGUUAGCUAGAGUGUGGGAGAGGAUGGUAGAAUUCCAGGUGUAGCGGUGAAAUGCGUAGAGAUCUGGAGGAAUACCGAUGGCGAAGGCAGCCAUCUGGCCUAACACUGACGCUGAGGUACGAAAGCAUGGGGAGCAAACAGGAUUAGAUACCCCUGUAGUCCCUGUCUCUUAUACA
rnacentral:rRNA from 1 species